rnacentral:RNase_P_RNA from 2 species
UGGGUAUGCGGGGCAAUCGCUUUUUGCCAAACCUGUUUAAAUUAAACUCGUUUGACUUGAAGAGGAAAGUCUGGACUCCUAACAGGUGAAAUGCCUUAUGAGAGCUGGUUUUGGCUAGUUACAAGUAAGGAAGGCGUAAGUCUAUGGAUAGUGCCACAGAAAAUAUACCGCCUAAAAAGUAAUUUUUGGGUAAGGGUGAAACCGUGUGGUAAGAGCACACGCGCCAGUGCAGUAAUGUUAUGGCUGGGAAAACCCCAUUCGGAGCAAGACAAAGUAGGCGAGCUUCAAGUUACCUGUUCUUAAUGGUUCGCGGGUAUGUCGCAUAGAGAAAUGAUUGCUGCUUGGGCUUUUGUCUCAAGUACAAAAUCCAGCUUACAAGUGUACCCAAAGA